ensembl:lncRNA novel transcript, antisense to TAF6L
GCCAAGCUGUCACCGAAGAAGGCGUAGAGCUCCCGGUAGAUGUCGGCCAGGGUCACCGAAAGAGAAGGGUCCUCCGGCCCCGCGCCCCCUGGCGGCAGCGGGAGGCCGGACCCAAAGCUGGGUUCUGCACCGCCCCCGGAGGACGACUCUUGAAAGAGAAGGCUGUCCCAUGGCAGGUCGUCCAGGCGCCGGCACCCCCUGCCACCUGGGCCACCCCUGUUGGGCUCUGCUGCCUGGGCCUUCAUCUUCAGCAGUCGCUCUACCGCCACCUGUAAGAGCCAAGGACUAAGAUAGGCAAAAAAUUCGAGGAACCUGGGCCCAUCAAAUAUUCCAAAGUAAGCCUGCUUGGCUGCUAAGCUCAUGCAGGGAAGGGAGGCUGGAAGGGGACGGUACUCACCAGAAUGGCUCCAUAGACUUUGUGUCCAUCUGCUUUGACCUGGGCAUUAGAUACUGAAUAAUCAUCCAGCACAGCCUGCAAGUUUGUCCAGUAGGUGGACAGGUGUGGGUACAGGACUCGUUCUACUGCCUGGAAGGAAGAGAAGGAAUACAGUUAGCAUGUCUUUGAUACUUAUUCCCUCUCAAGGACCCUUUCCCAUGAAAGACCUACCUUUAUCUCUGAUCCUAGACAGGGCUCAAUCCUCCUAAAUUCCCUGAUUGGCAUAUUCAACCAUAUAUUUAUUUGGAACCUACUGUAUACCUAAGCUAGGCAUUGGGAAUAAAGAUAAGGUACAAAGGGAGACAAUAAAAAAUAUACCCAAUAUCA